rnacentral:tRNA from 1 species
UCCUGAACUUACUCUGUGGGGAGAGAAGGAUUCGAACCUUCGAAAGCUUACGCUAACAGAGUUACAGUCUGUCCCAUUUGGCCGCUCUGGAACC